CACCCAAGUGUGUGUUCUGGUCGUGAGUUCUAACAGGAGAAAAAGGGGUUUCUCUAAUGAACCCUAAAAUGCACAAAAUCAACCAAAUCAAGAAGGCAAAUCAAGUCUAAAUCGAAAACCAAGCUAGGAUUAGUGAUCACUCGGGCUAGAGGAUCACAAGUUUGACUCUGACAAGCUAGGUAGGAGUUUGGAAAUGAACGGGUCAAAUAGAUACAAGUUCAAGUAUGAGGCUCGCAAGGAUGCAAGGUAAGUAAAGCUUACACCUUUAUCGUAAGAUAUGUAUUUAUUUAUAGAUUAUAAAUACGACAAGGUUAUAUUCAAAAUAUGAUUUUGACACGAAAAGAUACGGGUCGGAACGUAUCAAAAGACGAAAAACCAUGUUUAAUGGUAAAAAUGGGUGAAAUGGUAAUUUGGUAAUGGGAUGACAUAAAUAAAAAUGAGUUUUUGUAUGGCUACUUUCUAAGUAGGUUUAAACGAAUAAAAAGGGUAAAACGGUGAUCUAGUCAAAUAUAAGCGCAAAAUGUUCGGUCGUUUAGACCAAACGGGUCAAAUGGUAAUGUUGAUACCAUUUAACAAUUAACGACUAAUAAGUGUUUGUGGAGUUUUAUGCACACAUGAUAAAUCGGCUUAUGAAUUAGCGAUGCUAUGAAUUAGCGAUUAUUGAGACAAGGUAUCAAAACGGGCCAAUAUGUUGAUCCGAACCAGGUACGCAUAUUGUGAGUUAUAGAUAAGUAUACAGUAGAUUGUGCAUAACCAAGGGGAAAGAUUUAAACUUAAAAGGUUUAAAUCUUCGAAGUAGGUCAAAAAAAUUAUGCGCAUAGAUUGGGUACUAGCCGCGUAAUUCAUAAAAGUUUCAAACCCGAAUUAAAGAUUUUGAGAUAAACAUGUUGAUGUAUGCUUAAUGGUUAAUUAGAAACAAGUUUGUGGUUUAAAAACUUGAACAGGUCAAAAGUCUUUAAAAAUGAAUUUUAAAGCCAAGGGCUAGAAGCCUAUUAAUUUGUGAAUUCAGAUGUUAAGUUUGAAAGCUACCGUAAGUUACGGUAGCCACCGUAACUUACGGUAGCGAAUAAAUUGUUAAGGCAGUUUUCUAUUGCCUUACGGCAGACCAGUUUUGCCCAGUGGCUACCGUAACUUCCGGUGGCUACCGUAACUUACGGUAGAGCCCAGUCACUUUUGCUGAAUUUUGCAUAUCAUAGUUAAUCGAACCCGUUUUUGAGCAUAGUUUCGAUUACGGCACGCGACAGGUGUAAAACCUGCAAAUCCUUGUUAUUUUAAUUGUUUGGCUCAUGGGACUUGUGUUAACUUGUAAAUUCAAAACUAACUUUUUUUUGUUGGUUUUGAUUCUAGGUGAAUGUUAUAUGCUUCCGCAUGAGGAUCAAGCCACGAGCAAGAACCGAACACACCUCUCAAUGAAGCUUCCGCAUUCGAUCUUGUUUUGUUUUAAUAAAAGUGGAUUAUGUAAACACUUUUAGCGAUGUUUUGGAUGUUGUAAACAUGUUUAAAUACUUAUGAUGUAAAAGUUUUUGUUAAGUGGCAUUUUUCAUAUAAAAUGCUUACGUUAAUGUUAUGUAAAUGAUAAAAAUUAUUAUGGGUGUUA